CAGUCGUACCUGCGGAUAAUCAGCUUUUUGAGUGUGAUUAUGUGGUUUAUGAGGAGUUUAACCGCCUUCAUGUAUUGCAUAUUUGUGCUCUUGGGUGUACUUGUCUGUGUGGUAGGUUAACAUCAAUUUCGGUCGUCAUAAAAUGACUGGAGGAAUGUAGCUUUGGUCUCGUAUCGAAGUGUUAUAGACUCUGGUAGAUGUGACGAUUGGGGAUUGGAGGAUUGCAACGGAUACCCUUCGGGGCUACUCGUCUGAUCUCUGAAGGUUGCUCCGGUGCCG
rnacentral:rRNA from 1 species